rnacentral:rRNA from 1 species
AUUGAACGCUGGCGGCAGGCCUAACACAUGCAAGUCGAGCGAGCGGCGGACGGGUGAGUAAUGUCUGGGAAACUGCCUGAUGGAGGGGGAUAACUACUGGAAACGGUAGCUAAUACCGCAUACCAUCAGAUGUGCCCAGAUGGGAUUAGCUAGUAGGUGGGGUAACGGAUCACCUAGGCGACGAUCCCUAGCUGGUCUGAGAGGAUGACCAGCCACACUGGGACUGAGCCACGGUCCAGACUCCUACGGGAGGCAGCAGAGGGAAAUAUUGCGCAAUGGGCGCAAGCCUGAGGCAGCCAUGCCGCGUGUGUGAAGAAGGCCUUCGGGUUGUAAAGCACUGUCAGCGGGGAGGCGUUACCUGCAGAAGAAGCACCGGCUAACUCCGUGCCAGCAGCCGCGGUAAUAC